AACCCAUGGUGAGGGCACUCUCUUCGGUACUCCUUGUACCUUUCCCAAGCUUCACCAGGUUGCUGUUUAAAUGAUGAGAUCUUGUUCUUCAGAGC
rnacentral:snoRNA from 1 species